UCCUACGGGGCGCAGCAGUGGGGAAUAUUGCACAAUGGGGGAAACCCUGAUGCAGCGACGCCGCGUGAGCGAAGAAGUAUUUCGGUAUGUAAAGCUCUAUCAGCAGGGAAGAAAAAUGACGGUACCUGAGUAAGAAGCACCGGCUAAAUACGUGCCAGCAGCCGCGGUAAUACGUAUGGUGCAAGCGUUAUCCGGAUUUACUGGGUGUAAAGGGAGCGCAGGCGGUGCGGCAAGUCUGAUGUUAAAAUCCGGGGCCCAACCCCGGAACUGCAUUGGAAACUGUUUAUCUAGAGUGUCGGAGAGGC
rnacentral:rRNA from 1 species